AAUAUACUCCCUCCGUCUUAAAAUUCUUGUAUUAGAUUUGUCUUGAUACGUACAUCCGUAUCAAGACAAAUCUAAGACAAGAAUUUUGGGACGGAGGGAGUACAUG
rfam:Triticum aestivum genome assembly, contig: Triticum_aestivum_CS42_TGACv1_scaffold_094689_2AL